CCGUUACAACGGCUUCCUGGCGUGACGGCACAUAUAUCAAUGGAGCG
rnacentral:ncRNA from 1 species